rnacentral:rRNA from 1 species
AGAACGAACGCUGGCGGCAUGCCUAACACAUGCAAGUCGAACGAGACCUUCGGGUCUAGUGGCGCACGGGUGCGUAACACGUGGGAAUUUGCCUCGGGGUAUGGAAUAACUCAGGGAAACUUGAGCUAAUACCAUAUAAUGUCUUCGGACCAAAGAUUUAUCGCCCUGAGAUAAGCCCGCGUAGGAUUAGCUAGUUGGUGGGGUAAAGGCUCACCAAGGCGACGAUCCUUAGCUGGUCUGAGAGGAUGAUCAGCCACACUGGGACUGAGACACGGCCCAGACUCCUACGGGAGGCAGCAGUGGGGGAAUAUUGGACAAUGGGCGAAAGCCUGAUCCAGCAAUGCCGCGUGAGUGAUGAAGGCCUUCGGGUUGUAAAGCUCUUUUACUCGGGACGAUAAUGACGGUACCGAGAGAAUAAGCCCCGGCUAACUCCGUG